rnacentral:rRNA from 1 species
AUUGAACGCUGGCGGCAUGCCUUACACAUGCAAGUCGAACGGUAACAGGUCUUCGGAUGCUGACGAGUGGCGAACGGGUGAGUAACGCGUUGGUGACCUGCCCCGAAGAGAGGGAUAACAGUCCGAAAGGAUUGCUAAUACCCCAUGUGGUCGUUUGGAUUAGAUGCCUUAUGACUAAACGGAUUUAUUCGCUUCGGGAGGGGCCUGCGUCCCAUCAGCUAGUUGGUAGGGUAAUGGCCUACCAAGGCGAUGACGGGUAGGGGACCUGAGAGGGUGGCCCCCCACAAUGGAACUGAAACACGGUCCAUACACCUACGGGUGGCAGCAGUAGGGAAUAUUGGUUAAUCUGGGAAACCGGGAACCAGCAACGCCGCGUGCACGAUGAAGGCCUUCGGGUUGUAAAGUGCUUUUUGAAAGGAUGAGGAAGGACAGUACUUUCAGAAUAAGCUUCGGCUAACUACGUGCCAGCAGCCGCGGUAACAC